CGAGCGAUAUAGCGUCAUCGUCAAGCAUAGCGACGAGUAUUUAGUUAACCUGUCUUCUGAAAAGCUGAUAGUUUCUGUUGUGCAAAUUAUCACCUACCUGAGGAUUAACUAACUUGUAGAGUGUUGCAUUUCAAAUUAGCAACAAUGUCCAGGAAACUACCAACAAAGCAUCCAUUACCAACAGGUCGCAAGAGAAAACCAGGUGAAAGUACAAAAGCAAACGUUGAAAGCAAGUCUCAUUCAGCAUUUCAAGCUGGACGUUUGCAUAGCUUUUGGCUAGGAACUUGGAAAAUUGGGAAACCACAGUAUCAACAACUGCAACAACUGCAACAGUAAAUUUUGUAAAUUUUGGUUGCUUCUCUUUGUUUCAGCCUUUUU